GACGUAGGAUGCGAGCGUUGUCCGGAUUCAUUGGGCGUAAAGAGCGCGCAGGCGGCUUGGUAAGUCGGAUGUGAAAUCCCGAGGCUCAACCUCGGGUCUGCAUCCGAUACUGCCCGGCUAGAGGUAGGUAGGGGAGAUCGGAAUUCCUGGUGUAGCGGUGAAAUGCGCAGAUAUCAGGAGGAACACCGGUGGCGAAGGCGGAUCUCUGGGCCUUACCUGACGCUCAGGCGCGAAAGCUAGGGGAGCGAACUGG
rnacentral:rRNA from 1 species